rnacentral:lncRNA from 1 species
CUUCUCCAGUUUUUUCUCUGGGUUCUUCUCCCACAUUGUUCAGGUUAUAUAUACAGUUCCUUUUUCUCAGUUCUUUGGUGAGAAAGAUGAGGUUUCUUUGGAGUUGUAUCUACCUGUGCUGUUGCUCCUCUAGUGCAGCUCCAUGCAUGGGGCCUGCUUUUGGCAAAUCCUCAAGAGAAAAGAAAAAAAAAAAUCCAGAGAUUUGUUCAUGCUUACAUAUUCUUCAUGUCUAGCCAUAAAGGUGAGAUUCUGUUAGAAUUUUACCAUUGCACAGAUCUGUGAGUAGGCUAUUUUCAGGACAAAACUAUUAGAGAAAAGAUGAAAGUACACUCACUUUCUUUCACAGUGUCUGAAUAUGUUUACUUCUUAGAUUCCUCCUGUAGUUUUUGUUUUUUGCCCCUAGACUUUAGUUGUAAGCAGAGGUAAUGGGGCUACAGUGGGCUUACCACAUAUAUUAGUUACGUAUUGCACUGUAACAACUUUCUGUGACUUAGCAACUUAUUUUAGAUUCCGCAUCUAAGGGGUUAGGAAUCCAGGAGCAGUUUACCGAAGUAUUCUGGUUUGAGGUAGAUUUCAGUCAGGGUUGCAGCCAUCUGAAGCCUGAGAAGGAUCGAAUUCUAAGCUUAUUUACAUGGCUGUGAGAGGAACCAUCAGAUCCUUGCCACAUGGGUCUCUGUAGAUACCUACUAAGCAUCUGGCAACUGCUUUCUCUUAGACUGAGUAGAGAGGGCUAUAGGGCAAGGGCAAGCACAGGACCAUUGCAACAUGGAAGAAGUGACCUACUAUCAUUUCUGAGAGACAGUGGGGGUAAAAAAAAAUGGGAAUGGGUGAUUGGCUAGAUAAUGGAAGAUGUAAGUGAUAAGGGAGAUAUAGGACUCUGAGAUAAUGUGUAAGUUCCCAGAUUGGGUGAUGAGGGGAAAAUGGUGCUAUAAGGCAGGGGAUUGUCAAACUUUAGCCUAGAGGCUAAUCUGUUUGGAUACUCAUUUUUGUAAAUAAAAUCUUAUUGGAACACAGUCACAUCCAUUUGCUUACAUUUGUUUAUGGCUAGGGGAGAGGAGUAGCUGUCACAAAGACCGGAUAGCCCUCAUUUUUCAUCUUGCUACCCCACAAUUUGUCAACCUAGAAAACUCCAUCUCUUUUCAGAAGUUAAACUCUGAUUUAUUCAGGGGGACUUAGGACCUCUUCCC